AUGACCUUCAUCACCUUAAUCCUGGAAAUGCUCCUCAGUCUUCAUGGAUCCAGAGGUCAGUACACUCUGACUCAGACUCCAGCGGUGAAAGCUGCAUCUGUGGUGGGGGACACGGCCAUUCUGAACUGUGAAGUCAGCAGUGCUGUGUACUGGCACGAGUUCACUGGAGACUACCUUCACUGGUAUCAACAGAAACCUGGAGGAGCUCCUAAACUUUUGAUUACAUUGGCAAGCACACCACAUUCUGGAACUCCAUCUAGAUUCGAAGGGAGUGGAUCAAGCACAGACUUCACUCUGACCAUCAGUGGAGUCCAGACUGAAGAUGCAGGAGAUUACUACUCUUUGAGUCUCUGCAGAUGGUGUGCUGUUUAUAUGAGCAGUGAGAGUGGGCUGCGCACACGUAUCCUCAGCAAGUUCCUGGACACUAGAAAGAGUUCUGCUCAGGCGUUAUUAUGGACGGCCGAGCAGUGA